UCAAUGGUAAGAGUGUAAUGAUGCCUUCAGGGUGCUUCCUCCUUCUUCAUGCCAAUUGGUGCUGUCAAAGUGCUGUCCGUCAGACUGUAACUCACACACCUGAGGAGACUCCCAGCCUGCAGACGGAUCACCGGCGACGGCCCCGAUGAGGGAGGAGGAGGUGCUGAAGUGGUGUGGGACCGUUUUCGGUCGGCUCAGGGUCCUGACGGUCUUCUGUGAGCUGCCUGGCUUCACGGGCUGCAGGUCUUCAGGCUGGAUCAGCGGCCUGGAGUCCGGAGCGUCCGCUGAAUCCGACGAGAGCUCCCUCUGCAAGCCGGCCGGGGCCGUGCUAUUCCUGCACUCUGCGGCAGACAGAGGGAACGCAAAGCGAAUGAAGUGAAGGACCCCUUACGGCAGAUUCAACUGACGGAAAAAAAAACAUGGUGUAAUCUAUCAGUGAGGAAGUUGGCGAACUCCACGAAGUUGAUGAAGCUGUCUUUGUCCGCGUCGCAGUCGUCCAUCAGGUCGCUGAGGAUCGGCUCGCACAGGUCCAGCUGCACCUCACGGCACACAGCCAGCAGGUCCUCCUUGUCAAUCAUCCCCCUGCCCUUCUGUUCAAUUACACACACACACACACACACACACACACACACACACACGCACACAUGCACACACAGUCAUGGAUGUGAUUUCCUCCAACCAUGGACUUUUUCAAAGUUUGUCAGUGGUACCACCU